GCGGCUCAUUUUAUGCAAAACAAAUGGCAGGUAAUCGUGAUUUAAUUCUUUUCAAGUAAAUUACAGUGAGUGCGUGACACAAAGCGCUGGCGACCCUCCCUUCUCUGUCAAUAGUUGAAUUAAUGGUGGCAGGAGCGAAAACAGCAGUCAGCCCUCCCCAGCUCCCACCCCUGCAGCGGGGGACCUGCCAAUCUGGCCGCGCCCCCAGCAGGCUGGAGCGCUCGGGUCGCCAACGUUCGGAUGGAACGUUCUGGUGUCACCGCGCGGCGGCCGCAGAGCCCAGGGCUCGCCGGAGCCGGAGUCCCGGCAGGGGUGAGCGUCCGCGCGCUACGGCCGGGGCGCUCGAGGCGUGGGCACGCGGGAACCCGGGGCUGGUGGCGCUGGCAAUGCGGGUUGACAGCGCACAGGGUUCCCGGGCAGGUCGUGGAUCGGGGCACUUUGGUGAUCUUCUAACCGUGCCAGGUUCCCUCGGCGAGAGACACCCUGGAUGCUUCCGGAGGCGGCGGCGCGGCGAGAGCGUGGGCCGGUCCCCCGCCAGCGCGGGCGCAGGGGGCGCGGUGGCUGUGCGCUGCUGGUCCCUGGCGCACCCCGGCUUCAAGGGCCGAGACCCGAGCCAGUCCGCGCUCACAGUGCCGGUUUUUGCCAAGAAACCCGCUUGGGGCGAGUGACGGGGUUUGGGGGCAAGGGAUCAGCCAGGAAAGCAGGGGUCGCCUGUGGCUGAGAGGCGCCUGUCUAGGGCCCCGGCCCCAGAUUCCCCGGGGGGUAAGCUUGAAGCUCUGGAAGGGACUUGGAGAUGAGGCUCAGUUCCAGACACUAUAGAUGCGCAGUAACAAUUGAACCGACCGCCAAAGUCCUGCGCGGCGAUGUACACUUUCCACUACGUGGGCACAGAACUCCAACUCCUUCCCGAGGCCCGCGAUCCCGGCUGUGGUCUGGCCAUCUGCUCCAUUAGGCUCUGGAUCUGGAUUGCCUGGCGACGGAAUGCUGCCUGAACUGUCCUGAAUGGGGGAGCUUGAGCAAAAUACUUAAUCUCUUUGUCCUCAGUUUCCACAGCGGCAAAAGGGGUCAAUAAUGGAGCCCUACACUCAGGGCCCUGGACGAGCUUCCGUAGCGCUUAGAAUGGUGCUUGGCACAAAGAAAAGUGCCUAAUGCGUGCUGGGGGGUUCACUCCACCUGGGCCAUGUCCACGUUUUCCAUUUUCCUGCCUCUGAGUACAUGCCUGCCUCUGCCCUUGCAGGCAGAGAUCUUGCCUUCCUUCUGUCCCGCUGCCACUUCAGGCCUCCACUCAACUGUCACCCCGGGGCCGUCAUACUCCUCAGUAACUCAAAGCGCUGUGUUCUUCCUCGUAUUGAUUCUGAUCCGGAUGGUUUCCACCUUAUGCUCAGCCAGUCUGUCUUCGAAGUUCCACAGGAAUGGGGACCUGCGUUCCUUCUCUGCAGGCCCUCAGCACUGUGCUCAGUACCGGGAACGCAGUAGUUGCUCAGUAAAGCCCAAGGAAUGAAUGAGUAGAGUCACUUCCUCUCUGAUACCAGAGAGGUCGAACUCCUCAUCUCUUAAGUGCCAAAGUCUGUUGUUCAAGGAUAUAAGCAAAUUAAUCCACGUGGAAAUUUUAUUUUCAAAAUUAGAAAAUCAUUUUCUAAAGAGAGCUAGGUUCUCUGGAAGAACUACAGGCUGUUCUCAAUGAUGUCGACUUUCUUCCUUACCUGGGGCUGACAUGGGUUGCAGCCAGUUUCUAAGAACUCUGCCCAUCCUCCCUGAGCUCGGUGGUGAGGCCUGACAGGCGGCUAAGGGACCUGCUAGAUCUCCUUCCUAGUUUUGUCCCACCCCACCCCCAGGUUGAGGACUUGCUGGCUUUGGGCCAGUUUGGUCCUAGGAACCCUGUAGGCCUCCCUGCCCUGAGCAAGCCCUGCCCGCUUUCCUGCUGUGGGUCCUCCCGAGCCCUUCCUGCUCCAGGGACCACAUCCUGGGGUAGGGCCUUUGUCUGAGUCACCUGGCCAGAGCUCCUCAGCCCCUCUCACUGCUCUUCACUGUCAGUCACAGAUUCACACUUGCUCUUUCUUCUUUGGAGCUCUGGUUCCUGCUAGGCUACCAGACCCCAGAUCCCUGUCCCCCAGUCUGCCAGGGCCAAGCAGCUGGGUGGGGCUGCCUCACAGCUCAGUUCAAGGUGAGGAGAUGAGUCAACCGGCUCGAGUCCUUGUGUCUCAAUGUGCUGUCUGGAGCCAGGGACAGAGUAUUUCUGGAAGGCCUGGCCGGGCUCCUCAUCUCAUGCUAUUAUUUACUCAGUGAGAUCAUUAUCAACAAUGAUCAGGGGCAUGAUGACCAUCCUCAGUGGCCCCUCCUCUCUGGCUAUCCAGAGAUCAGGAAAUAUAAAUACCCGACUCAUUUAUGUAUCCCAGAACAGUUGCUGAGCAUCAAUCAGGGGCAGCGAUGGUGCCGAGGACACGGACACAAUAAUAGCCGACACUUGUCUGGCACUUUCCAGGUGCCAGAAACUGCAGGAAGUGCUUGGCGUGUGUUCUCUUACCCAAUCUAACGCACAUCUGUCCAAAUGGUCCUUCCAUUGUCGAGAGGAAACUGAGGCGCAGAACAGAAAUAGAACUCACCAGGGCUACUCAGCCAGGAAGUGGUGGGAUCUGGGCUUGGAACCAGAGCUGUGCUGCUGACCACCAUGCUGCCCUGUCCCCAUCAGUUUUCAUAAGGACUGAGCCACGGACUUGGCACUGCGCAGGCACAGAACGGCAAGGCAAAGGGAGAAGGGAGGCAGCCGGUGGAGUUCCCUGCAGAGGAGAUCCACAGAGACCCCAGUGGCUCCAGCCGCACCCAGGCCCUGUUCUGACUGCUUGACACAUAAUGUCAGCCCCUGAAAUCUUCACAGUGACCCUAGAUGGUGGGGGUAGCCUGACCCCCAUUGUGCAGAGGAGACACAGGGGUCCAGCAGCUCGCCUGUGGUCUCAGGACCAGUGAGUGGCCCUGCUGGGAUUUGAAGCCAGCUCCUCCUCACUCCAGGAUCCAGGCUCUUCCCCUCGUCCAGCAUAAGGCCUCUGUCUGGCAAACGUCAUGCCCAUGUGCCAGUCUGCAGGUGGCUGAGGGGUCCCUGAUCCCCGGGUUGCUCAGGUGUUCCUGCAGCGCCCUGUGCUUGUAGGAGCAGAGCCGGUGCCGCUAACUGAAACCCAGGGGAGCUUCUGCUCCCUUGUCUGUAAGAUGUGGGGAUGAGGUCAGCUCCGCCUGCCUCUUGGGGCAGCAGUGGGAACCAAGGCCAGGUCUGGGGAGGGCUCUGUGAAGCAUGAGUGCUGGCCUAGGGACGCCAAGCUCCAUGACCAUGUCUGUGCUGGGCACCCUGGGAGGGGCUGACCCACCCCAAGGCUCAUGCCUCUGCUUCAGGAUGCAUGACCCACGAUAAAUGGAGAGGUCAUUAUUUUAAUUGCAAAAUGACUAUAAACGAAGAGUCUCAUUUGAUGAUGCAGAUGGAUAGAGAAUUACACCUUUUACUUUUUAAAGUGAAUUAGCUAAUUAAUUAGUCUUUUUCUAAGACUAAUUUCUAGACGGUAUUCGAGGGCACUUAGGCCAGCCCUCAGAGGUGGCUCCAUGCCAGGCUGGUCCUGGGUGCUCGCUGCUGAACUGACCGACGCUACUCCCAUUUCACAGGCGAGGACACCGAGAGGUGACAGACAGGGCCCGUGGGUGGAGGAGCUGGCCAGGGGCCUCGCCCGGCUGCGUGUGCUGCAGCUUGCUGGGGCCCUGCGCAUCCGGUGCCCUCCUCUUGGGGUCAGCUUGUCUGGCUUUCACCUGUCUUUGUUCCCAGCGGCUCCGGCCCGGCACUGGCACUUCCUCACCCGUCCUUGUCCUGGGAGUCCAGCGCCCGCACAGUGCCUCUGCUGGGUGCCUGGGCCCCAGCGCCACAGCCUUUCACCCACCUGCCAGCUCGCUGCUUCUCUCUGGAGGGUUUUGGUGGACACCUUGACCUUGUGCAGGUGUGAGGCAAGGGCCAUGCUGCUCCAUCCCCAGAGCUCCUGUGCGUCUGGCCCUCACCCACCUGAACAAAGGCCAGGGCGACCCGCAUCACCCACAGCAGGACCUGACUCCCCUCUACCUUCGCCCCAGACCUGUUUCUGGCUCCAGUUGCUGGAUUUGAUCUGGCUUAAAUGAGGUGGUCAGAGAUGGCCAAGGUACUGCCACCGAAGCCAUGGCAGAUGGAACCGGGCCAUGAAGGACAUGCCAGUCAUGAGAUUCCAGUGACCACCUGAAUGGGCUGGUCUGUGGGCUCUGCGUGCUGUUCCCAGGUUGCAAGUGGCAUGAAUACACCAAAGCCAUCAAGGGGAGAGCCUGGAACCUACCUGGGAACCAGAGGCCAGCCUGCUGUGUGUUCCUGGUCCCACCACUCACUACCGUGUGGUCCCGCCACAUGACAGUCUCCUGCGCUUCCGUCUCCUUUUCUACAAAAUGGGUGACCUUGAGAGUCACGUGUUGAAGAUGAUGGAGUCCCUGUUACAGAAUCCAGCUCUUCCUACUCCCUGCAGGACUACUUGGACUGAAUCACAUCAUAUUCAACCACUGAGACAUGUGGGAUGCUUGUUACUGCAGCUAGCAGGGAGCCU